rnacentral:rRNA from 1 species
CCUACGGGAGACAGCAGUGAGGAAUAUUGGUCAAUGGACGAGAGUCUGAACCAGCCAAGUAGCGUGAAGGAUGACUGCCCUAUGGGUUGUAAACUUCUUUUAUAUGGGAAUAAAACAGGGUAUGCAUACCCCCUUGUAUGUACCAUAUGAAUAAGGAUCGGCUAACUCCGUGCCAGAAGCCGCGGUAAUACGGAGGAUCCGAGCGUUAUCCGGAUUUAUUGGGUUUAAAGGGAGCGUAGGUGGGUUGUUAAGUCAGUUGUGAAAGUUUGCGGCUCAACCGUAGAAUUGCAGUUGAAACUGGCAGUCUUGAGUACAGUAGAGGUGGGCGGAAUUCGUGGUGUAGCGGUGAAAUGCUUAGAUAUCACGAAGAACUCCGAUCGCGAAGGCAGCUCACUGGACUGCAACUGACACUGAUGCUCGAAAGUGUAGGUAUCAAACAGGAUUAGAUACCCGAGUAGUC